UUCGCAAGCUCUCUGAGCCUGCGUCCGCCUAGAGGGAGGGCUUCCCUGGCCCGGCCAGAGUGGCUCAAAGCACAAACGACUGUCAAGAGUGUAGGCGAGUGGAGGUGCCGGAAGUGUCUGCGCGCCGUGAGAUAACUUUCCUGCUCCGGCUGCGGCCCGGAGCCUCCACCGCCUCGGUGUUGGCAGCGACGAUGCGCCCUGAUGACAACGACCUGAGCGGACUCGCGCCUCGGCCCACCGCUAGAGUCUGCACACUCCUCACCGCAGGAGAAGACUGAGUCCAGAGGCGUCCACGCGCCGCGGGAGCCCUGUGCUGGCAGCGCGGCGCUCGGGGCCCAUUUCCUUUGCUCCGUCCUCUAGCGUCUUGGCCGGUUCCCCGCGAUCGCGCGUCCUCAGCGCCGGCCGCGGUCGCCGGCUGUUCCCGCCCUCACCGCCGGCCGGGACGUGCCCCGGGUGGCUGCUGGUAGCGUCUGUGCCAUGGGGCUGCCUACUCUGGAGUUCAGCGAUUCCUACUUGGACAGCCCGGAUUUUAGGGAGCGCCUGCAGUGUCACGAGAUUGAACUGGAGCGAACCAACAAGUUCAUCAAAGAGCUCAUUAAGGACGGCUCUCUGCUCAUUGGGGCGCUGAGGAAUCUGUCUAUGGCAGUACAGAAAUUUUCCCAGUCACUGCAAGAUUUCCAGUUUGAAUGUAUUGGUGAUGCUGAAACAGAUGAUGAAAUUAGUAUUGCUCAGUCAUUAAAGGAAUUUGCAAGAUUACUCAUUGCAGUAGAAGAAGAAAGGAGGAGACUGAUUCAAAACGCUAAUGAUGUAUUAAUUGCUCCACUUGAGAAAUUUCGCAAAGAACAGAUAGGUGCAGCAAAAGAUGGAAAGAAGAAGUUUGACAAGGAAAGUGAAAAGUACUAUUCUAUUCUUGAUAAACAUUUAAAUUUGUCUGCAAAGAAAAAGGAAUCUCAUUUGCAAGAGGCAGAUACACAGAUUGACCGAGAACAUCAGAAUUUUUAUGAAGCAUCACUAGAAUAUGUCUUUAAAAUUCAAGAGGUUCAAGAAAAAAAGAAGUUUGAAUUUGUUGAGCCGCUUUUGUCAUUCCUUCAGGGUUUAUUUACUUUUUACCAUGAGGGAUACGAACUCGCCCAGGAAUUUGCACCAUAUAAGCAACAGCUUCAGUUCAACUUGCAGAACACAAGGAAUAAUUUUGAAAGUACUCGACAAGAGGUAGAGCGGUUGAUGCAAAGAAUGAAAUCUGCCAACCAAGAUUACAGACCACCCAGCCAGUGGACAAUGGAAGGCUACCUUUAUGUCCAGGAGAAACGACCACUUGGUUUUACAUGGAUUAAACAUUAUUGUACAUAUGAUAAGGGAAGUAAAACAUUUACAAUGAGUGUUUCAGAAAUGAAAUCCAGUGGGAAAAUGAAUGGCCUUGUUACCGGUUCACCAGAAAUGUUUAAAUUGAAAUCUUGUAUCCGACGAAAGACAGAUUCAAUUGACAAACGAUUCUGCUUUGACAUAGAAGUAGUUGAAAGACAUGGAAUCAUCACAUUGCAGGCAUUCUCAGAAGCUAAUCGGAAACUCUGGCUUGAAGCCAUGGAUGGUAAAGAACCGAUUUACACCCUGCCUGCCAUUAUUAGCAAGAAAGAAGAAAUGUACUUAAAUGAAGCAGGGUUCAACUUUGUGAGAAAAUGCAUUCAAGCUGUGGAAACAAGAGGCAUCACUAUUUUAGGCCUCUACCGAAUAGGAGGAGUAAACUCCAAAGUUCAGAAACUCAUGAACACAACAUUUUCUCCAAAAUCCCCUCCUGAUAUUGACAUUGAUAUUGAAUUGUGGGAUAAUAAGACAAUAACAAGUGGACUGAAAAACUACCUCAGAUGCCUUGCAGAACCACUGAUGACUUACAAGUUACACAAAGAUUUUAUUGUUGCAGUUAAAUCUGAUGACCAAAACUACCGGGUGGAAGCUGUACAUGCAUUGGUGCACAAAUUGCCAGAAAAAAACAGAGAGAUGCUGGACAUCUUAAUAAAGCACCUCGUCAAAGUAUCACUACACAGCCAACAAAAUCUCAUGACUGUCUCAAACCUUGGAGUCAUAUUUGGCCCAACUCUAAUGAGAGCACAAGAAGAAACUGUGGCUGCCAUGAUGAAUAUUAAAUUUCAGAAUAUUGUGGUUGAAAUUCUGAUCGAGCACUAUGAAAAGAUUUUUCAUACUGCCCCAGACCCAAGCAUUCCUCUUCCUCAGCCUCAGUCUCGAUCUGGAUCCCGAAGGACACGAGCAAUCUGCCUCUCCACAGGUUCCCGGAAGCCUAGAGGGAGGUAUACACCGUGCUUGGCAGAACCUGAUAGUGACUCUUACAGCAGCAGCCCAGACAGCACACCCAUGGGGAGCAUUGAGUCACUCUCCUCUCACUCCUCUGAGCAAAACAGCACAACCAAGUCUGCUUCCUGCCAGCCCAGGGAGAAAUCUGGAGGGAUUCCUUGGAUUGUAUCCCCAUCACCUUCCAAUGGACAGAAGAGUCUUGGACUCUGGACAACUAGUCCUGAAUCAAGUUCUAAAGAGGAUGCAACCAAAACGGAUGCAGAAUCAGAUUGCCAGAGUGUUGCCUCGGUCACCAGCCCAGGGGAUGUUUCCCCACCCAUAGACCUGGUCAAGAAAGGGCCGUAUGGGCUUUCAGGACUGAAAAGAGCCUCAGCUUCCUCUCUCAGAUCCAUCUCUGCAGCUGAAGGAAGCAAGAGCUACAGUGGAUCCAUUCAAAGCUUAACUUCUGUAGGUUCCAAAGAGAUGCCCAAAGCCCCACCACACCCAGACCUGCCUCCAAAAAUGUGCAGGAGGUUAAGGCUGGACACUGCCUCGAGCAAUGGCUACCAGCGACCUGGAUCUGUUGUGGCAGCAAAAGCCCAACUGUUUGAAAAUGUUGGUUCACUUAAGCUGGUUUCUUUUGGGCGCCAAGCCAAAGCCAUGUACUCUUGUAAAGCAGAGCACAGCCAUGAGCUUUCCUUCCCACAGGGGGCGAUAUUUUCUAAUGUGUACCCAUCAGUGGAACCGGGAUGGUUGAAAGCAACUUAUGAAGGCAAAACAGGACUAGUUCCAGAAAACUAUGUUGUCUUCUUCUAAUACUGUUUAGUGGAUGGCAGUAUCUUCAUGGUAUCCAUGGUAACAAUAAUAAGUGCUAUGAUUUUAUCUGACACAGAUAUGGGAAUCAGCCCACUAAAUGAAAAGUAAAUUUCUGUUAAGUUUCUACACCAGCAGACUAUGUAGCUCCCUAUAAAUGGAAAAGAAAAAAAAAAUGCUUAAAUUGCUUGCCAUGCCAUUCUUUUUAUUUUUUACUUCUUGACUGGUUUCUUAUUUUAAAAUCUUUCUUCCCCUGUUUUUUCUGAUAAGUAACUCUACACAUUGUCUCUUCCAUAACAAUUGUAGAAUCUCAAAUACUGUGUUAAGUACUGUAUCCCAGAAAUUUGGAAACUAGAAAUUUGCUAUAAGGAUUUUUAGAUAUGUCCUUUACUGUCUGGCAUUCUCUGAGGAACCUUGAAAUCAUUACUUAAAAAUGUAAUUUAAAUUGUUCAUUUAUUUUUUUUCUUAAGAAUUUACUUCUUUUAUAUAUGAUUGUUUUGCUGGUCCUAAACAUUUCAAAGAAUAAGUUUUUUUUUUAACGUAAGUUUAUUUUUAUUUGUUUACCAAGUAGAUGAUGAUAUUCAAAAGGAAUAAUGUAUAUGAUGUCUAUAAAUGAAAUCAAAUUAAGUCAUACACUGAUUUCAAUAUAAACACUCCAUUCAGCAUUCCAGAUGCCUUCUGUGGGCAUAGCAGGGAUUAGCAAACUAUUUCUGUCAAGGCCUGAUAGUAAAUAUUUGGGAGUUUUGCAGACCGUGAAGGUCUUCACCAUAAUACCCAACCCUGCCAUUGUAGCAGAAAGCACCCAUAGACCAUGAAUAAGCAAAUGAACAUGGCUUACUUAGUACCAAUACAACUUUAUUUAUGGACCCUGAAAUUUGAAAAUCAAAAUUCUCACAUGUCCUGGCAUGUCAUCCUUCUUUAACUUCUUAAAAUCCAUUUAAGAAUAGAAGUAUUUUAGCUGAUGAGCCAUACAGAACUGGUGGCAAGCCAGAUUUGACUCAUGGGUCUUGGUUUGCUGACGCCUGGUUAAGAGGAUGUAUAAAGCUAUCUUUAUAAUUUGGGGAUUUUAUGAAAUUUUACUAUAUUAACAUAUAAAUAACAACACAUAACAUGUAAUUUUACUACAUCAACAUGAUAAGUCAUAUGCAUAUAUCAUCUCCUAGUGGCAUCACAAAAUAUAACUACAGUAAUAGGAAAACAGUGUAAAAAGUGCAGUUUUAAGGCAUGCAGCCUGAAUUGUACUUGUGACACUGUGAAGUGUCAAUGUAUAUUAUUGUUAUCUAAUUUUAAUUUUGGCUUUUGAGAAAUUCUUGUACAAAUGAAUAAGAUGUUUUUUAAAGACAGUAGUAGAAAAGCUAUGCAUUUUAAAUUCUACACUUAAUUGCAAUAGAAACCAAACAUAAAGAUACAGGAUUCUUAAAUUAUUUUGAGCCACAGAAUUUAAAAUUGCUUAGUCAUCUUUAGCAGGAAUAAAAUCUGUACGUGAUUUUCUUUUAUGCUUUUCAGUUUACAGCCUUUAUUAAGAAUUCACUGAAUUUAUAAAACAUAGAAAUAGGUAUUUACUACCAAUUUAAAUGUAUCACCAACAUCUAGUCAUGCAUCAGCCAUUAUUUCUGUUAUUUCUAUUUCAAUUAUUCUAAAAUGUUAUUUCUAUAAAUAUCUGCAUGUAGCAAAGAGCCUUUUUUCUCAAGAUUCCAAAAAGCCGGUUGCUCACCAUUGCCUCCCACAGGACUGGUCCACUGGGCCAUGAUAUUUUACUUGUUACUUCGGAGUUCUCCACUGUACAGACACACUCAGACAAGCAAGAAGAUUAGCCCCUGCCUACUGAGAUAUGCAUAAUGUCCCCAAGGAAUGUGAUGCCUUCCAGGAAUUUGAUAGUCUUAUUUUUCCGAGUGGAUGGUGUCCUAUUUUCAUCCUGCCUGAGCCUACGAAAGAGAACACCUGCAGAUCUUGGAAACAGUGUUCCUCAGGAGAAGGAAUAUAAAGGCUAUGAGCCCAAGAGCUGCCCUAGUAGCUUUCCAUGAGGCCAAAAGCUGCCAAGAGACUAAUGUGAAAAUAGGUAUGAUUGGCUACUUACACAAGUAAGUAUAAUCCUCAAAGGUAAAGAAGAGCUGUGUCCUCCAGCUGAGUAUGUGUAUGGUUUUAGGGUGUACUAAAUUCAGGAAAUAGACUCUGGAUCUUAUCCCCUGCCUUGUAUCCUGCAUUAUAAUAUCACUGAAACAGAUAGUGCCUGGUUACAUCUGUCCAUUAACUAUUUGUGGUCCACUAGACUAUGAGCUCUAUAAAAUCAUAUUCUAUUUGCCUAGGGCAGGAGCUCUGCAUAAGUUGCCUAUCCAAAAUCUGAUCUCCCUCCUUCCUUAAUAUAAACUUGGAUUUGAAAAACUCUAUAGUUGAAAAAGUCUCAGACUCCUUUGCAAUAUGGAGUCUAUCUGAUACAGUUUCUGCCACUGAGAUAAGUAAAAGUGAUAAAUGCAAAGUUUCUGGGAAAGUUUUGUUUUUGUAAUAAGUGCUACUGCUACCCCCUAUUCCUUGUGAUUUUCCUCUUAUUCUUCCUGCCUGGAAAAUGGAUGGAAGUGGAGCAAUCAUUUUGUGCCAUAAAAAUAAAAGCAAGAAGGAGCUUGGGACAUUUAUAUUAUCAUGGAAGCUGGAUUAACUCCAAAUUGUUGUUUUAUGAGAAAUACCCAUUAUUUGGUUAAAUGUUAUAGUAAAGUUUCUUUCAUAGUCAGUCAAAUGAAAUACCUUGCCUCCUCAUCAUUUUAUUAAACCAAACCAUUUGCAGAACUAAAGAAUAUCAAUCAUGUAGAAAGGACACACUUAACAUACAUGGUGGCUGAGUACUGCUAAUUUCAUGUGUGUCUUUCAAGGAACCAGAAACUCUUGUUUGUGAGAUAUGACUUAACAUAUAUAUGUAUGGUGUAUAAAUGUAUACAUUUAAACCUUUACUGAGUCAUGUUUCUUUCCAUUUAUAUGUUCAGUGGCUGAAAUCACCAAUCCAAUUACAUAUUAUAGAGUUGUAAACUUUAACCUUAAAAAUGAAUGUUUUGUUCAUAAUAAAUUUUGUUUAUAAUUCCAUGAGAAUACAAUGAAUCUGCUUAAGAAGUUAUUCAUUGCAACAAAUAGCUCACAGCAACACAGUUCAACUAGAAACAGUGCAUUUUAUACAGUAAAUGCUUUCUUUGUACCCUUCUCCUCUCACUUUUUAGAGCAUUGCUCUCCUUCAGAUGGGCAAGAUAGGUUUGUAGACAGAAAGGCCAAGGAGAAAGUAGAAGGAAGAGAACAUUUAGGGGUAGUGGAGUGACAGAGAUGAGGGACUCUGUAGAAGGCCUCUGAACAUGGGAUGUCACCAUUUAUGGCCAGAGACCAUUAUAGAAUGUUGAGCACUCAUGAAGGCUCCAAAUGAACAGGAGACUUUUUCGAGUGACAACAUGAAUGAGUGUUAUGGAUGGGUCUGAAACCCUACAUCCUAGGCUCCAGUCCAAUGUUGCUCUCUGCAAUUGUGCAGAACCUCAAUUCCCUCAUUAUCAAGGAAGACAUAUAUAUCUCAUUAGCUUUACAUAACAUUUUGACUUGCUAAUUAUAAGUGUAAAUUGUAUUUCAGUAUGUGUGCUUAUACUUGUGGACAUUUUGUUCUUAUAGAUUCACUGGCCCACAGGAAUUGUAGUUUAAUGGAAAUAGGGCUGGGCUUGGAGCCAGAAAACCUGGCUGGAAUAGACCUAGUUGUUAAGCCAUAGACCUGGUUGUAUAAUUUUGUGCAACUCUUAUCUGUAAGCCUCAGAAAAAUAUAGAUAAUAGUCAUCUUACAGUGUGUUAUGAAGCUUUUAUAAAAUAGCGUAGUUGUCCCACAGGACUCCCCAGUAAAACUGAAGAGAUGAAAGAUAGAAGCAUCGGAAAGGGGUGUGGCCAAGCCAUAUGGGUUAGCAGGGGUCUCAAGCUUGAAUACCUACUAGUUCACGCAGGUAAUAUAAAGGUGUGAAGUAGUAACUCUGUGGUGAUUUACAGAGUACCGGCCCAGGAGGGCAUAAACUUUUGAAGCUCAAACUGAUUGUUGUUAUGUAAAAAAUGUAGGCUUAGAUUUUCUGAUUUUUAAAGAGAUGCCAGGAAUGUGGGUGUAAAACUUUGUUUUCAAAAUAAUGGCAAAUAUUUCAGAAUGUUAAAAGAUUGUUGGACCAAACAACAUAACCAUGGAUGUAGUUAGUGGGUACUGGUUUGUGAUCUUUGAGUUUCAGUGGAUUUUACGGGAGGGCUUCAAUUUUUCUUUUCUUCUAGUUUAAGAAAACCUGUUGGCUGAGGAAACUCUUACAAAUAUCUGAGGUUCUUGUCUCCAACACAACUUCUUAAUUUACCUUACAAGUAAACAGGCUCCAUUAAAAACAAACAAACAAACAAACAAAAACACAGGAGAGCUCACCCAAAUAUAAGGUGUUGAAAGGAAGUUGCCUUAUUUCAUCUGGAACAAUGAGUAGGCAGAGGAUAUAUUGGCUCUGUGUGUAAAGUAAGGAUGAUUGAAUGUGACCAGGAAGUGGCCAAGAACAUGAAUAUCUAAAAGAAGUAAUCUAAAAUAGGCUCACUGGGACAUCAGAAAAAAAACUCUUUUUUUUUUUUACCCACUGUCCAGCAUCUUUUAGUUUGAAAUCCUCAGGUAUAGGACCAAUUGUAGUCAGUAUAGUCAGGUCUUUGUGAAUAUGAAACACUUCAUUGAAAUCUUAUUGUCUGAACAUUUUCGUCCUGAUCUCUAUUUUUUGUUUUAGUUUUUGGAGCAUCAUCUGGGGGGAGGAGUGUUCUCUGCUGCUGCUUCAUCCUAGCGAGAGAAGCCACAUACUUACGCUGAGGUAGGAAACAUGAAGUUCAGAGAGGUUAGGUAACUCACUCCACCUCAGUAAGAAGUAUCAGAGUACAGGUUAGAACUGAAAUUUUUUCCUUCAAUCUUCCAGUCUCUUUCCUUUAUAUUUAGCCUGCAUUGAUGAUUUUUGUUGUCUUUUGUAAAAGGUACUUAGUUACAUUUUCUCUAGAUUGUUUAUGUACAUGAGUUUGCUGUUAUGUAUCCAUGCAUGCACACAAAGUUAAGAGUAGACAUUUCUUAAUCCCAGAAUCAUUUUCAAUGUAAACCCUACUUACUUGGAGAUAACUCAGCAUAGCAAUAAGUUAAAGAAAGCUCCACAUGAUACACGUAAUUUUACUCUAUGCAAAAAGGUUUUUAAAAAUAUGAAAAUGUUGUGAAUAGCCUCUGAAUGUAAGUUCAGUAUUUUCUUAGUUCUUGGAAGAAAUACAUUUUGAAGUUUCAUAGCAAAAGGGAAAUAAAUCGCCAGACAGGAAUCCAGUGAAUUCAGCCCAGUUUAGAUAGCCAAAUCAGAUGAUUUUUAAACAAUAACCUCUUCCUUCUUCCUGGAUUACCUCUACUUAGGCCAGUUGCCUCACUGCAAAUAUAAAUUUGUUGUUCAGAAAACACUCUAUUAACUAAGCUACUUGUAGAGAUUUUUGUAAGUAUACAUGAAUUUUAUAAAAUGUAUUUAUUCUCAUAAAAUUUGUCUUAAAAAUGAAGACCUCUUGAAUAAUAGUCAUGAACAGGAUUCUCUAUUUAAAAGGAGAAAACUAAAAAUUCUUGGGAAUGUGCAAACAAUAAUUUGUUGACCUUUUUCCAAAAAGCAACUCCUCAAUGACCAUCUCCCAUUGCAGGGCAUGGAUCUAUAUGGACAGCAAUCUCACAAGCUACACAAUAGAGUGAGCAGGCUUAAGGUCCACAGAGGACUAGAGGAUCCCAUUCUCCAGCUGGGUUUCCACAUAAACUGCCUUAGUGUCUUUUGGUUAUUAAAAAUCAUAUAUUUGCUUGGUGACCAAGAUUAAUUUAUUAAUGUUAUCUACCUACAUUAGAAUAUAUGUUGUCACUAUUAAUGAUUUUUAGCAUGUACUUACCAUUACGUAGAAGAAUUAUAAUUGUACAGUGUUUUAUAGUGUGCAAAGUAAUUUUAUAGGCACUAUCACAUAUAAGCAUGAAAUCUUUGGUUAAAAUAUUCUCUGCUGGAUAGGUGAAAGCAUUGAAGUUCAGAGAGUUGAAAACAGAUUACUAAGAUCACAAAGCAUUAUUUUAGAGAAGUGACACGCCUAUUCUUUAAAACUGUGUGGAAUAAUGCUGUUUGUUUUAUUACAUGUAUUUGGGUGCUAUUAACAACCAUCUGAAAUGGAUGCUUAAGCUAUCUCUGUUUAAGUAAUUCACAGGUAUGCAUGUUUUGGUUCACUACCUGUGUAUUCUUACCUGUAUACCUUAACUUUUUAUCAACCAUGUUAUUAUUAUUUUUUAUUUUUUAGAAAUUCUUAGUGAUGGGACACCUGUGUGGCUCAGUC